GACGAACGCUGGCGGCGUGCUUAACACAUGCAAGUCGAACGAUGAAGCUGAAGCUUGCUCCGGUGGAUUAGUGGCGAACGGGUGAGUAACACGUGAGCAAUCUGCCCUUGACUCUGGGAUAACUGCGGGAAACUGUAGCUAAUACCGGAUACGAGGCUCGAAGGCAUCUUCGGGUCUGAAAGAAUUUCGGUCAAGGAUGAGCUCGCGGCCUAUCAGCUUGUUGGUGAGGUAAUGGCUCACCAAGGCGACGACGGGUAGCCGGCCUGAGAGGGUGACCGGCCACACUGGGACUGAGACACGGCCCAGACUCCUACGGGAGGCAGCAGUGGGGAGUAUUGCACAAUGGGCGAAAGCCUGAUGCAGCAACGCCGCGUGAGGGAUGAAGGCCUUCGGGUUGUAAACCUCUUUUAGCAGGGAAGAAGCGAAAGUGACGGUACCUGCAGAAAAAGCACCGGCUAACUACGUGCCAGCCGCCGCCGUAA
rnacentral:rRNA from 1 species